rnacentral:misc_RNA from 1 species
GGGUUGGCACAGGGUAAUAGGAGUCUGCUUAAUCACAAUGCCAUUGAGAAGGGCUAUGGGACAGAUGGAGAUUUUUCUUGAUUGUUUUGAGAGUCAACAGAUAGGUAUCUUAUUUGUUUCUAUUGAGAACUUUAGUUCUCACACAUUCGAUCUUUCAUUUUGUUUGUAUUUAAGUGUCAGAUGAGGACUUUGGAAUUUUUGUAGUUAGGAUCUAUUAUUCAGUAAAUGCAGUAAAGUUGCUUAAAAGUGCAUAUCCGGUUUUGCAAUCUAGGAUAACUGACCAGAGCUCAUC